rnacentral:rRNA from 1 species
AUUGAACGCUGGCGGCAGGCCUAACACAUGCAAGUCGAGCGGAUGAGUGGAGCUUGCUCCAUGAUUCAGCGGCGGACGGGCGAGUAAUCCCUAGGAAUCAGCCUGGUAGCGGGGGACAACGUUUCGAAUGGAACGCUAAUACCGCAUACGUCCUACGGGAGAAAGUGGGGGAUCUUCGGACCUCACGCUAUCAGAUGAGCCUAGGUCGGAUUAGCUAGUUGGUGAAUUAAAGGCUCACCAAGGGGACGAUCCGUAACUGGUCUGAGAGGAUGAUCAGGCGCACUGGAAGUGAGACACGGUGCAUGAUCCUACGGGAGGCAGCGGUGGGGAAUGUUGGACAAUGGGCGAAAGCCUGAUCCAGCCAAGCCGCGUGUGUGAAGAAGGUCUUCGGAUUGUAAAGCACUUUGAGUUGGGGGGAAGGGCAGUAAGUUAAUACCUUGCUGUUUUGACGUUACCAACAGAAUAAGCACCGGCUAACUUCGUGCCAGCAGCCGCGGUAACAC